rnacentral:rRNA from 1 species
UACGGGGGGGGCAAGCGUUGUUCGGAAUUACUGGGCGUAAAGGGCUUGUAGGUGGCCAACUAAGUCAGACGUGAAAUCCCACGGCUUAACCGAGGAACUGCGUCUGAUACUGGAUGGCUUGAGUGUGGGAGAGGGAUGCGGAAUUCCAGGUGUAGCGGUGAAAUGCGUAGAUAUCUGGAGGAACACCGGUGGCGAAGGCGGCAUCCUGGGACCAUGACUGACACUGAAAAGCGAAAGCCAGGGGAGCAAACGGG